GAUUAAGUUAUUAAGGGCGCACGGUGGAUGCCUUGGCACUAGAAGCCGAUGAAGGACGUUACUAACGACGAUAUGCUUUGGGGAGCUGUAAGUAAGCUUUGAUCCAGAGAUUUCCGAAUAGGGAAACCCAGCAUGAGUUAUGUCAUGUUAUCGAUAUGUGAAUACAUAGCAUAUCAGAAGGCACACCCGGAGAACUGAAACAUCUUAGUACCCGGAGGAAGAGAAAGAAAAUUCGAUUCCCUUAGUAGCGGCGAGCGAAACGGGAAGAGCCCAAACCAACAAGCUUGCUUGUUGGGGUUGUAGGACACUCUAUACGGAGUUACAAAGGACGACAUUAGACGAAUCAUCUGGAAAGAUGAAUCAAAGAAGGUAAUAAUCCUGUAGUCGAAAAUGUUGUCUCUCUUGAGUGGAUCCUGAGUACGACGGAGCACGUGAAAUUCCGUCGGAAUCUGGGAGGACCAUCUCCUAAGGCUAAAUACUCUCUAGUGACCGAUAGUGAACCAGUACCGUGAGGGAAAGGUGAAAAGCACCCCGGAAGGGGAGUGAAAUAGAACCUGAAACCGUGUGCUUACAAGUAGUCAGAGCCCGUUAAUGGGUGAUGGCGUGCCUUUUGUAGAAUGAACCGGCGAGUUACGAUUUGAUGCAAGGUUAAGCAGUAAAUGUGGAGCCGUAGCGAAAGCGAGUCUGAAUAGGGCGUUUAGUAUUUGGUCGUAGACCCGAAACCAGGUGAUCUACCCUUGGUCAGGUUGAAGUUCAGGUAACACUGAAUGGAGGACCGAACCGACUUACGUUGAAAAGUGAGCGGAUGAACUGAGGGUAGCGGAGAAAUUCCAAUCGAACCUGGAGAUAGCUGGUUCUCUCCGAAAUAGCUUUAGGGCUAGCCUCAAGUGAUGAUUAUUGGAGGUAGAGCACUGUUUGGACGAGGGGCCCCUCUCGGGUUACCGAAUUCAGACAAACUCCGAAUGCCAAUUAAUUUAACUUGGGAGUCAGAACAUGGGUGAUAAGGUCCGUGUUCGAAAGGGAAACAGCCCAGACCACCAGCUAAGGUCCCAAAAUAUAUGUUAAGUGGAAAAGGAUGUGGCGUUGCCCAGACAACUAGGAUGUUGGCUUAGAAGCAGCCAUCAUUUAAAGAGUGCGUAAUAGCUCACUAGUCGAGUGACACUGCGCCGAAAAUGUACCGGGGCUAAACAUAUUACCGAAGCUGUGGAUUGUUCUUUGGACAAUGGUAGGAGAGCGUUCUAAGGGCGUUGAAGCAUGAUCGUAAGGACAUGUGGAGCGCUUAGAAGUGAGAAUGCCGGUGUGAGUAGCGAAAGACGGGUGAGAAUCCCGUCCACCGAUUGACUAAGGUUUCCAGAGGAAGGCUCGUCCGCUCUGGGUUAGUCGGGUCCUAAGCUGAGGCCGACAGGCGUAGGCGAUGGAUAACAGGUUGAUAUUCCUGUACCACCUAUAAUCGUUUUAAUCGAUGGGGGGACGCAGUAGGAUAGGCGAAGCGUGCGAUUGGAUUGCACGUCUAAGCAGUAAGGCUGAGUAUUAGGCAAAUCCGGUACUCGUUAAGGCUGAGCUGUGAUGGGGAGAAGACAUUGUGUCUUCGAGUCGUUGAUUUCACACUGCCGAGAAAAGCCUCUAGAUAGAAAAUAGGUGCCCGUACCGCAAACCGACACAGGUAGUCAAGAUGAGAAUUCUAAGGUGAGCGAGCGAACUCUCGUUAAGGAACUCGGCAAAAUGACCCCGUAACUUCGGGAGAAGGGGUGCUCUUUAGGGUUAAUGCCCAGAAGAGCCGCAGUGAAUAGGCCCAAGCGACUGUUUAUCAAAAACACAGGUCUCUGCUAAACCGUAAGGUGAUGUAUAGGGGCUGACGCCUGCCCGGUGCUGGAAGGUUAAGAGGAGUGGUUAGCUUCUGCGAAGCUACGAAUCGAAGCCCCAGUAAACGGCGGCCGUAACUAUAACGGUCCUAAGGUAGCGAAAUUCCUUGUCGGGUAAGUUCCGACCCGCACGAAAGGCGUAACGAUUUGGGCACUGUCUCAACGAGAGACUCGGUGAAAUCAUAGUACCUGUGAAGAUGCAGGUUACCCGCGACAGGACGGAAAGACCCCGUGGAGCUUUACUGUAGCCUGAUAUUGAAAUUCGGCACAGCUUGUACAGGAUAGGUAGGAGCCUUUGAAACGUGAGCGCUAGCUUACGUGGAGGCGCUGGUGGGAUACUACCCUAGCUGUGUUGGCUUUCUAACCCGCACCACUUAUCGUGGUGGGAGACAGUGUCAGGCGGGCAGUUUGACUGGGGCGGUCGCCUCCUAAAAGGUAACGGAGGCGCUCAAAGGUUCCCUCAGAAUGGUUGGAAAUCAUUCAUAGAGUGUAAAGGCAUAAGGGAGCUUGACUGCGAGACCUACAAGUCGAGCAGGGUCGAAAGACGGACUUAGUGAUCCGGUGGUUCCGCAUGGAAGGGCCAUCGCUCAACGGAUAAAAGCUACCCCGGGGAUAACAGGCUUAUCUCCCCCAAGAGUUCACAUCGACGGGGAGGUUUGGCACCUCGAUGUCGGCUCAUCGCAUCCUGGGGCUGUAGUCGGUCCCAAGGGUUGGGCUGUUCGCCCAUUAAAGCGGUACGCGAGCUGGGUUCAGAACGUCGUGAGACAGUUCGGUCCCUAUCCGUCGUGGGCGUAGGAAAUUUGAGAGGAGCUGUCCUUAGUACGAGAGGACCGGGAUGGACAUACCUCUGGUGUACCAGUUGUCGUGCCAACGGCAUAGCUGGGUAGCUAUGUGUGGACGGGAUAAGUGCUGAAAGCAUCUAAGCAUGAAGCCCCCCUCAAGAUGAGAUUUCCCAACUUCGGUUAUAAGAUCCCUCAAAGAUGAUGAGGUUAAUAGGUUCGAGGUGGAAGCAUGGUGACAUGUGGAGCUGACGAAUACUAAUCGAUCGAAGACUUAAUCAA
rnacentral:rRNA from 1 species